AUUAUACUCCCUCCGUUCCGAAUUACUUGUCGACUUGUCGUAGGUAUGGAUGUAUCUAGAUGUAUUUUAGUUCUAGAUACAUCCAUCUCUGCGACGAGUAAUUUGGAACGGAGGGAGUACCUU
rfam:Triticum urartu cultivar G1812 contig168322, whole genome shotgun sequence.